GGACGAACGCUGGCGGCGCGCUUUAUACAUGCAAGUCGAACGUGAAGCUCGGAGCUUGCUCCGGGUGGAAAGUGGCGAACGGGUGAGUAUCACGUGAGAAACCUGCCCCGAAGACCGGGAUAACACCGGGAAACCGGUGCUAAUACCGGAUGCCCUCACCGGAUCGCAUGGUCUGGUGAGGAAAUGGAUUCCGCUUCGGGAUGGUCUCGCGGCCUAUCAGCUUGUUGGUGGGGUAAUCGGCCCCACCAAGGCUUCGACGGGUAGCUGGUCUGAGAGGAUGUCCAGCCACACUGGGACUGAGACACGGCCCAGACUCCGUACGGGAGGC
rnacentral:rRNA from 1 species